rnacentral:rRNA from 1 species
AAAGGCGCUUUCGGGUGUCGCUGAUGGAUGGACCCGCGGUGCAUUAGCUAGUUGGUGAGGUAACGGCUCACCAAGCCCACGAUGCAUAGCCGACCUGAGAGGGUGAUCGGCCACAUUGGGACUGAGACACGGCCCAAACUCCUACGGGAGGCAGCAGUAGGGAAUCUUCGGCAAUGGACGAAAGUCUGACCGAGCAACGCCGCGUGAGUGAAGAAGGUUUUCGGAUCGUAAAACUCUGUUGUUAGAGAAGAACAAGGAUGAGAGUAACUGUUCAUCCCUUGACGGUAUCUAACCAGAAAGCCACGGCUAACUACGUGCCAGCAGCCGCGGUAAUACGUAGGUGGCAAGCGUUGUCCGGAUUUAUUGGGCGUAAAGCGAGCGCAGGCGGUUUCUUAAGUCUGAUGUGAAAGCCCCCGGCUCAACCGGGGAGGGUCAUUGG